rnacentral:lncRNA from 1 species
AUUUUGUAGACGGUCCUGCUGAUGUUUGUGUAUGCCAUAGGACUGUGUUUAUGGUUAGUGAAAUUGUUCACUUUAAGUUUGUAUUCUGUUUAAUUUGUUCCCAGGGGUGAAGGGGAAAUCAUCUUCGGAGUUCUUGGGCAAGAGGCCUGCGGGCAUACACAUACCUGUAGUACGUACUAUGUCUAUGUACACUAGGUAAGACCUGGGCGGACCAUCCCCUGUAUUUUGGUUUGUGUGCCAGUUGGUGCUAGUUAGGUCAUCAUGCUGCUUGUUAUGGCGCACACCUGCGUGUCAUCAGACUCACCUGGACUCAUCACCUCCUUGAUUACCUGCCCAAUAUAUGUCACUCCCUUUGGUUCCUUCCCCAGGCGUUGUUUCCUAUCUGUUCGUGUUUAUUAAAUAUUCACUCUUGUACUUGGUUCCUGACUCAGUGCACACGUUACAGUUGAGCAUGAAAAACCCAGCAGUGUUGCAGUUCUUCACACACUCAAACUUGUGCGCCUGGCACCAUACCCGUUCAAGGCACUUAACUCUUGUCUUGCUCAUUCAUCCUCUGAAUGGAACACAUACACUAUGUAUCAAGGCUUAAAAUACUCCUUUAACCAUUCUUCAUCUACACCACUGGUUCCAAACUUUUUAUAGUCCCUUAC